rnacentral:rRNA from 1 species
GCCUUAUGGUUGUAAAGCACUUUAAGCGAGGAGGAGGCUCUCUUGGUUAAUACCCAAGAUGAGUGGACGUUACUCGCAGAAUAAGCACCGGCUAACUCUGUGCCAGCAGCCGCGGUAAUACAGAGGGUGCGAGCGUUAAUCGGAUUUACUGGGCGUAAAGCGUGCGUAGGCGGCUUUUUAAGUCGGAUGUGAAAUCCCCGAGCUUAACUUGGGAAUUGCAUUCGAUACUGGGAAGCUAGAGUAUGGGAGAGGAUGGUAGAAUUCCAGGUGUAGCGGUGAAAUGCGUAGAGAUCUGGAGGAAUACCGAUGGCGAAGGCAGCCAUCUGGCCUAAUACUGACGCUGAGGUACGAAAGCAUGGGGAGCAAACAGGAUUAGAUACCCUGGUAGUCCAUGCCGUAAACGAUGUCUACUAGCCGUUGGGGCCUUUGAGGCUUUAGUGGCGCAGCUAACGCGAUAAGUAGACCGCCUGGGGAGUACGGUCGCAAGACUAAAACUC